rnacentral:rRNA from 1 species
CGUAAACGAAGUCUNCUUGGAAGUUGUGGCCUUGAGCCGUGGCUUUCGGAGCUAACGCGUUAAGUAGACCGCCUGGGGAGUACGGUCGCAAGAUUAAAACUCAAAUGAAUUGACGGGGGCCCGCACAAGCGGUGGAGCAUGUGGUUUAAUUCGAUGCAACGCGAAGAACCUUACCUACUCUUGACAUCUACAGAAGCCAGCGGAGACGCAGGUGUGCCUUCGGGAACUGUAAGACAGGUGCUGCAUGGCUGUCGUCAGCUCGUGUUGUGAAAUGUUGGGUUAAGUCCCGCAACGAGCGCAAUCCUUAUCCUUGUUUGCCAGCACUUCGGGUGGGAACUCCAGGGAGACUGCCGGUGAUAAACCGGAGGAAGGUGGGGACGACGUCAAGUCAUCAUGGCCCUUACGAGUAGGGCUACACACGUGCUACAAUGGCGCAUACAGAGGGCGGCCAACUUGCGAAAGUGAGCGAAUCCCAAAAAGUGCGUCGUAGUCCGGAUUGGAGUCUGCAACUCGACUCCAUGAAGUCGGAAUCGCUAGUAAUCGUGGAUCAGAAUGCCACGGUGAAUACGUUCCCGGGCCUUGUACACACCGCCCGUCACACCAUGGGAGUGGGCUGCAAAAGAAGUGGGUAGUUUAACCUUCGGGAGGACGCUCACCACUGUGUGGUUCAUGACUGGGGUGAAGUCGUAACAAGGGAACCG